rnacentral:rRNA from 1 species
UGUCUGGAAUCCCGAAGAGAUUUGGGAGUGCUCACAAGAGAACCGGAACACAGGUGCUGCAUGGCUGUCGUCAGCUCGUGUCGUGAGAUGUUGGGUUAAGUCCCGCAACGAGCGCAACCCUUGCCAUUAGUUGCUACAUUCAGUUGGGCACUCUAAUGGGACUGCCGGUGACAAACCGGAGGAAGGUGGGGAUGACGUCAAGUCCUCAUGGCCCUUAUGGGUAGGGCUUCACACGUCAUACAAUGGUCGGGACAGAGGGUUGCCAAGCCGCGAGGUGGAGCCAAUCUCAGAAACCCGAUCGUAGUCCGGAUCGCAGUCUGCAACUCGACUGCGUGAAGUCGGAAUCGCUAGUAAUCGCGGAUCAGCAUGUCGCGGUGAAUACGUUCCCGGGUCUUGUACACACCGCCCGUCACACCAUGGGAGUGGGUUUCACCAGAAGUAGGUAGCCUAACCGCAAGGAGGGCGCUUACCACGGUGAGAUUCAUGACUGGGGUGAAGUCGUAACAAGGUAAGCGUAGUGCU